GGUGAAGGCAACAUAGUUGAAGUUCAUGAUCCUAUUAAAGUAUCAAACGAAAGGUGCAAAUAAGGUAGAUGAGAACCGCCCUAUGUCGAAAAAUGGUAGGCCACUUUCGUACGACGAGAUCAGAAUCAGGUGCGGCGCAUGCAAAUUGCUAGGGCACACUAAACGCAGCAAGAAAUGCAAACUAAAUAAGAAAAGCGUGGUGGGCGAAGAAGAGUAGAACAGUUGCUAAAGUUAUGUUAGGAUGAAUCCAGUGAUCUAAUAGUGAGGUGUUUACAAUGUGUUACUGCAUACAUGAUACAUGAUAUAUACUAUUGCAAGAGGCCAGUACCUUGAGAUAGUGCUUGUAGCAUAUAUGGACUAAACAGGAGGCGGUCACUAGGGACUUUAAUCAUGGAAAAUGGAUAGCAUUUUAGCCAUUGUAAUGAUGGCAUAUUUUGUGUUGUCCACUGUAGUUAUAUUAUAUUAGAAAACUAGACGAUACCCGGCAUGUUGUUGCGGGAAUGUUUUGCAAUAUAUUCAUAGAGAAAUGGUUACGUGUAACAUGUAUAUGUUGUUGCGGGAAUAUUUUGUUUGCAUGUUGUGGUGGACCUUUCUCCAUACAUG